rnacentral:rRNA from 1 species
CUACGGGAUGCAGCAGUCGAGAAUCUUCCGCAAUGGACGAAAGUCUGACGGAGCGACGCCGCGUGAUUGAUGACGCACUUCGGUGUGUAAAGAUCUUUUAUGAGGGAAGAAGUUUAUUGACGGUACCUCAUGAAUAAGGGGCUCCUAAUCUCGUGCCAGCAGGAGCGGUAAUACGAGAGCCCCGAGCGUUAUCCGGAAUUAUUGGGCGUAAAGGGUGCGUAGGUGGUUUUGUUAGUCGUUUGUCAAAUCUCUGGGCUUAACCCAGAAACUGCGGGCGAAACGGCAAAACUAGAGAAUGUGAGAGGUAUAGGGAACUCAUGGCGUAGGGGUGAAAUCCGUUGAUAUCAUGGGGAACACCAAAAGCGAAGGCACUAUACUGGCACAUAUCUGACACUCAAGCACGAAAGCGUGGGUAGCGAAUGGGAUUAGAUACCCGCGUAGUC